UGUGAGGAUUGGGAAGUCCUCUGGGUA
rnacentral:sRNA from 1 species